CCCGACCCUGACCAGAUGCAGCGCGAGAAGGGAUUCAUCCUUCGGGAGUGGCGCCGGCGAGGGACUUUCCUUGUAGAUCCGAUCAUUCGUCGAUUCGCCAAAAUGCCAUCUUGCUUGAGGAGGAGAGGAAGGAAAAGGAAUGUUGAAAUCAAAUUAUCGCUGAAGCUGAACAGUACAAGCAAGCUUUCUAUGAGAAAGGGAAAUUGAACUGUGAGACAAACAAGUUGCAAAACAGAGAAAGAGAGAAGCUAUACCUCUCCAACCGGGAGAAGUUCCACACAGAUGCCGAUAAACAAUACUGGAAAGCAAUUGCUAAGCUUAUAACCAAUGAGAUAGCCAACAUCGAGAAGAGAGGGAAGAAAGAGGAGCAGAAGCCUUCACAGACCAAAGCCUGGAAAGCCCACUGAUCUCUCGACGAUGCGCCAGAUUUUGGUAAAGCUGAAGCAUACACCCACACCACCUUCCUCUUCACCAGCCAAAGAUGUUGCUGCAGCCGAUGAGAUCUCUGUGCCAGAAGGGCAAGCAGUCAAACCAGAGGUAGCUGCAACUGCUUGAUCCUCACAUGCAACUAUUCGAUAUUUAUGUCGAAUGAUUUCCGACCAUACCAGUGAGUUCUGCACUCCAUCGGUUGUCCUACCUUUUGCUAAAACGGUUCAUCGGGAAUCAGGUUUGUCCUACAUUGCUCAUCAGAUAUGUUGAUAAACUUUCAACCGUCGGCUUUUCUGUCUCAGGUUCUUAUCAAGUUGGACGUGCUGCUGUUGCAAUAGAGUUUUGUGAUGUUUUUAUACCCAAUUGCAAUGCAAUUUGUGGUCUGUAAUAUCUAAUUAGACCAUGUAUACUGGCUGCUGGUAGCAAAAGAGUUGAACAUUUCAGUCCAAGUACUCAUUGUGCGAGUAAAAAGGCUAAACUGUAUUCGAGUUAUAGCGAGGGAGACCUGUAACCCUUUCCAAGAUUAGAUAUAGCUAUGCAUCAUGUUGCCAAACGAUGUUUCUUUCGACUGAAGAAGACAGAUGUGAGAAGAUAGGCAUCAAUCACAAAGUGACAUGU